rnacentral:rRNA from 1 species
CCUACGGGAGGCAGCAGUAAGGAAUAUUGGUCAAUGGAGGCAACUCUGAACCAGCCAUGCCGCGUGCAGGAUGACGGCCCUAUGGGUUGUAAACUGCUUUUGAACAAAGAGAAAACCCUCUUACGAGUAAGAGCUGAUAGUAUUGUUAGAAUAAGCAUCGGCUAACUUCGUGC